rnacentral:lncRNA from 1 species
GGGAGAGAUGCACAUCCCUAAUAACAAUGCCUGUCCCUAACAUAUCUGUGAUUGUCUAUCUCACAGGCGCUACAUCCUUACGCUAAAGGACUAUCCCAACUACUACAUCUAUGAGCCGUGGAGUGAUGAAUGGACUACCCUAAGCCCAUGAUCAACCACGCAGAGGUCUCAUGGCCUCUGUGCCCACCAUCCAGGAAGAGGCAGUGCCGCCCCCAACAGACGACUUUUAGAUAAGCAGCAGCACCUGUGGUAUGUAGUUUUUUUUCAUUUAUAAUUUAAUUAACCAGGAAAGUCCUGGUCAAGAAAGCAGCAUUUUCCAGGUUUUAGUUGCUGCUUUAGAUUCACGUAA